GCUAUGGACUUCCACCUUCGUGAAAUGUGCUGCAAUAUCUCUGCAAACAUUGUUUUUUUUCAUUUGCUUUUGUGCUGUAUCAUUUGAUAGAUGGCUAUAAACUAGAUUAGUUUUCUGCAGAGAUAUUGCAGCACAUUUCACGAAGGUGGAAUUCCAUAGCACA